rnacentral:rRNA from 1 species
UGGGGAAUUUUGGACAAUGGGCGAAAGCCUGAUCCAGCCAUGCCGCGUGAGUGAAGAAGGCCUUCGGGUUGUAAAGCUCUUUUAGUCGGAAAGAAAGAGUUGCAAUGAAUACUUGUGAUUUAUGACGGUACCGACAGAAAAAGCACCGGCUAACUUCGUGCCAGCAGCCGCGGUAAGACGAAGGGGGCAAGCGAUGUUCGGAAUUACUGGGCGUAAAGGGCGCGUAGGCGGGUUGGUUAGUCAGGCGUGAAAGCCCUGGGCUUAACCUGGGAAGUGCGCUUGAUACUGGCAGGCUUGAGUGUGGGAGAGNUUGGUGGAAUUCCCAGUGUAGAGGUGAAAUUCGUAGAUAUUGGGAAGAACACCGGUGGCGAAGGCGGCCAACUGGACCACAACUGACGCUGAGGCGCGAAAGCGUGGGGAGCAAACA